GAGUGCUGAGGAGAGUUCGACCAAGGUGUGCCUGGACCCAUCCCACAACACAGUUGCAAGCUGAGCUCUAGGUGGCUGCAUGGAUGUCUCACCAACCUGCCAUUUGAAAGCAACACGUUAUCUAAAAUGGAGCUGGUGGCACUUGGUUAUCUCACAGGAUGAGCUCAAAUGGGUGCAUUCAGACAUAAGCACGCACAGCAAGCCAGCACUGAGUGGGCACUCUGCCACCUGUGGCCGCAGCAGCCUCAGCUGGAGGUGGGAGCUGCAAAGCUGGAUUUACCACCCUGCUGGCCCGUGGCCAUCAGCAUAACCUCACACACUGCCAUGCCAGCCAAGCCUUCCCUGCCUCCCUCACUCCAGACUUCAAGCAAGAGACGCUCCCGGAAUAAGCGCGCCGUGCAGAAGAGGAGGGGCUGGUACAUUUGGCUGGAUCCCACUCUACAACCAGAUCUGACCCGGGCAGCCCACUGCGCAAGCAAGGCUGCUGUUCCAGUGACACACGUGCACGUGUGCUGGGAGCUCGGCCACCCAGCCGCAUCGAUUCCCACUCACACCCCGAAGCGCCUCUGCCGGAGCCGUGCCCGACUUAACCGAACAUCUUUCAUCUCCCCAUUGAUUAGUUGUCACGAGGAGGGAACGCUGUAAUCAAUGAACCUCUCAGCUGCUGUCAGCAUAUGCAGC
rnacentral:lncRNA from 1 species